rnacentral:rRNA from 1 species
AUUGAACGCUGGCGGCAGGCCUAACACAUGCAAGUCGAACGAGUGGCGGACGGGUGAGUAAUGUAUGAGAAACUGGCUGAUGGAGGGAGAUAAAUACUGAAAAAGGUAGAUAAUACCGACUACCGUCAGAUGUGCCAAGAUGGGAUUAGCUAGUGGGUGGGGUAAUGGCUCACCAAGGCGAAGAUCACUAGCUGGUCUGAGAGGAGGACCAGCCACACUGGAACUGAGACACGGUCCAGACUCCUACGGGAGGCAGCAGUGGGGAAUUUUGCACAAUGGGCGCAAGCCGUAUGCAGCCAGGCCGCGUGUAUGAAGAAGGCCUUCGGGUUGUAAAGUAAUUGCAGCGGGGAGGCGUUACCCUCAGAAGAAGCACCGGCUAACUCCGUGCCAGCAGCCGCGGUAAUUC